rnacentral:lncRNA from 1 species
CUUUUCAAGACUUCUCUGUCUCCCCAUAAAUGAAAUAAUCUCACGCUGUAGCCCAGGUUGGCUUUGAACUUCCGUCAAUCCUCCUGCCUCAUCCUGCCAGAUGUUGGAAUUACAGGUAUGAGUCAGUACACCAAGCCUAAAAUGGUGGUGUUACGUCACUGAGAGCGCAUGUGGAACCCCAAAGUGUAUUUACAGAACAACACUGUAUGUACAGCAGCUUUGUCAUUGUUUUCUGAGAUACCAUCUUGCUUCAAAGCCCAGACUGGCCUCCAGGAUUCACGGUCCUGUUAGCCUCAGUGGUGUUACUGGGGUGAGAGGAGUUGCCACUUCCCUGGAUUUCCCUGGAGCUCCUGGAGUUGGAUGGGUCUGGGGAAGUUUGGUGCUAGCGUGUGGUCUUACGUGCUUCCCUCUGACCAUUUAGGUGGGCACCUGUCUGAGAGCACUGGCCCGCCAUAGGGAGGGCUCAUGUCACGUCACCACGUAGUAUGUCUGUGUCAGCCCCAGCCUUGUCUGUUUUAGGAGAACCACGCUGUGUGGCACCCUGGACUACCUGCCCCCGGAGAUGAUUGAAGGUCGGAUGCAUGACGAGAAGGUGGACCUCUGGAGCCUGGGGGUGCUCUGCUAUGAGUUCCUAGUGGGGAUGCCUCCUUUUGAGGCACACACUUAUCAGGAGACCUACAGAAGGAUAUCACGGGUUGAAUUCACAUUCCCUGACUUUGUGACGGAGG